CCUGAGGAAACGUUUUGCCUACGUGGACAGAAAUCGCUCCUUCAAGGGCGCACUUUAUGUCCAAGUAGGCAAAACGCUUCCUCAGGG
rfam:Gossypium raimondii Chr02_contig_1111, whole genome shotgun sequence.